UUAUCAACAUGAACAGAGGAGCGCUCGAAAUAGAAAUAAUUCAUCCAACACAGACGGUAUAAAUUUCAACAAAAUCUACACAAGUUGCGCAACAACGCUUUAAUUGCAUAAGGAGCUCAGACUCCACGAAGUUGCGUCCAGAGACGAAGAUGUCUGUGCAGGCCUGAGUGUUGGAGAACUCACAGAGUCCGAAGUGUUCUAGUCCAUGGAGGAUGGGUGGCUGCAAGUGUUGCUUGUUGAUGGAACAGUCGGUACCGAGGAAGCCAGAGUUGCAGAGGCAGAUUCCUGGCAGAUACAGAGACAGGUACAGAGACAGUGCCCCACAUCCUGGAGAGGACGCCAUGCUGAAAUCAUUGCCAUGACAACGACAUUUCCUGCUCCCCGAUCAGUAAGUGACAGUUGGAGUGCUUUGGUUGAGUGACUGUUGAGUCGUCAGGUCACAACACUGUCAACCUGAUGUUAUCCACGCUUGAGA